rnacentral:rRNA from 1 species
GGAAGGUGCAAGCGUUAAUCGGGAAUUACUGGGGCGUAAAGCGCGCGUAGGCGGCUAGAUAAGUCGGGUGUGAAAGCCCUGGGGCUCAACCUGGGGAACUGCAUUCGAUACUGUCUAGCUAGAGUGUGGUAGAGGGAGGCGGAAUUCCGCAUGUAGCGGUGAAAUGCGUAGAGAUGCGGAGGAACACCAAUGGCGAAGGCAGCCUUCUGGACCAACACUGACGCUGAGGCGCGAAAGCGUGGGGAGCAAACAGGAUUAGAUACCCUGGUAGUCCACGCCGUAAACGAUGUCAACUAGCCGUUGGGAGCAAUUUGGUUCUUGGUGGCGCAGCUAGCGCGAUAAGUUGACCGCCUGGGGAGUACGGUCGCAAGAUUA